GCGGGGGUGGCAGGAAAGCCCAAGUCCCUCGGCACACCCAGGUGACAGUGAUGACCGCCCACAGGCGUGGCGCCUGAGUCACACGGGACGGGUCGUGUCCUGGUGCACUCGAGGCCCCCUGGACAGGGCAACCAACCCUCAGUCCACCGGGGUCUGCUCGCAGACCACCAGGAGCCCCGCUGCACUGUCCGUGGGCCACGGUGGUGACGGCAGCUCAGGAGGGAAAGACCAGAAGCCUGUCCCCCCGUCCCACAACGACAGACGCAGGCCUGCGGGGAGGCAUGUCCCCAUCCACGAGUGCCUCCUGGACCACGAGCUCCUCUUUCUCCUGCAUCGCCUCAGACCCCACCCAUGAGUUCCAAGGUCAGGAGCCUGGUCCACGUCCCACACCCCUCUCAUGAGGCACCCGUAGCGAUUCUGUUCCAAUUUAAAGAAAACCUUAAUCAGAUUUGUCACCUCAAUUAUUAGAAUUCCACGGCGUUAGCUCACAGUAGUAAAUUGCUUUUUCUGAGAAACUAGAGUUUUUUAAAUUAAGCCUUUUAUUUUGAGGCAAUUGCAGGCGACGGCCGUCGUGAGGGAACACGGGACACCCACGUGCCCUCCACCACCUCCUCCCAGGGCAACCCUCGCAGAGUAGCCAGGACCACAUUCGGAUCUGGACUCUGAAAUGACAGUCCCACAACCAACAGCAUCGAUGGGGUCUUCUCCAUGAUCAGAAACACACAGGGGAUUAAUUUACCCUUAUUCCGCAAAAUAAACAAGCUCUCAAAUUC